rnacentral:rRNA from 1 species
AGAGUUUGAUUCUGGCUCAGGACGAACGCUGGCGGCGCGCCUAACACAUGCAAGUCGAACGAGCGAGAGAGAGCUUGCUUUCUCGAGCGAGUGGCGAACGGGUGAGUAACGCGUGAGGAACCUGCCUCAAAGAGGGGGACAACAGUUGGAAACGACUGCUAAUACCGCAUAAGCCCACGGCUCGGCAUCGAGCAGAGGGAAAAGGAGCAAUCCGCUUUGAGAUGGCCUCGCGUCCGAUUAGCUAGUUGGUGAGGUAACGGCCCACCAAGGCAACGAUCGGUAGCCGGACUGAGAGGUUGAACGGCCACAUUGGGACUGAGACACGGCCCAGACUCCUACGGGAGGCAGCAGUGGGGAAUAUUGCACAAUGGGGGAAACCCUGAUGCAGCGACGCCGCGUGGAGGAAGAAGGUCUUCGGAUUGUAAACUCCUGUUGUUGGGGAAGAUAAUGACGGUACCCAACAAGGAAGUGACGGCUAACUACGUGCCAGCAGCCGCGGUAAAACGUAGGUCACAAGCGUUGUCCGGAAUUACUGGGUGUAAAGGGAGCGCAGGCGGGAAGACAAGUUGGAAGUGAAAUCUAUGGGCUCAACCCAUAAACUGCUUUCAAAACUGUUUUUCUUGAGUAGUGCAGAGGUAGGCGGAAUUCCCGGUGUAGCGGUGGAAUGCGUAGAUAUCGGGAGGAACACCAGUGGCGAAGGCGGCCUACUGGGCACCAACUGACGCUGAGGCUCGAAAGUGUGGGUAGCAAACAGGAUUAGAUACCCUGGUAGUCCACACCGUAAACGAUGAUUACUAGGUGUUGGAGGAUUGACCCCCUCAGUGCCGCAGUUAACACAAUAAGUAAUCCACCUGGGGAGUACGACCGCAAGGUUGAAACUCAAAGGAAUUGACGGGGGCCCGCACAAGCAGUGGAGUAUGUGGUUUAAUUCGACGCAACGCGAAGAACCUUACCAAGUCUUGACAUCCCUUGACAGGCAUAGAAAUAUGUUUUCUCUUCGGAGCAAGGAGACAGGUGGUGCAUGGUUGUCGUCAGCUCGUGUCGUGAGAUGUUGGGUUAAGUCCCGCAACGAGCGCAACCCUUAUGGUCAGUUACUACGCAAGAGGACUCUGGCCAGACUGCCGUUGACAAAACGGAGGAAGGUGGGGAGGACGUCAAAUCAUCAUGCCCUUUAUGACUUGGGCUACACACGUACUACAAUGGCGUUAAACAAAGAGAAGCGAGACCGCGAGGUGGAGCAAAACUCAGAAACAACGUCCCAGUUCGGACUGCAGGCUGCAACUCGCCUGCACGAAGUCGGAAUUGCUAGUAAUCGUGGAUCAGCAUGCCACGGUGAAUAAAAGGCCGGGCCUUGCACA